CCUACGGGAGGCAGCAGUGGGGAAUAUUGCACAAUGGGGGAAACCCUGAUGCAGCGACGCCGCGUGAGUGAAGAAGUAAUUCGUUAUGUAAAGCUCUAUCAGCAGGGAAGAAAAUGACGGUACCUGAGUAAGAAGCCCCGGCUAAAUACGUGCCAGCAGCCGCGGCAAUACGUAGGGGGCAAGCGUUAUCCGGAUUUACUGGGAGUAAAGGGAGCGUAGACGGCAGUGUAAGUCUGGAGUGAAAGGCGGGGGCUCAACCCCCGGACUGCGCUGGAAACUGUACGGCUGGAGUGCGGGAGAGGUAAGUGGAAUUCCUGGUGUAGCGGUGAAAUGCGUAGAUAUUAGGAGGAACACCAGUGGCGAAGGCGGGUUACUGGACUGUAACUGACGCUGAGGCACGAAAGCGUGGGGAGCGAACAGGAUCAGAUACCCGGGUAGUC
rnacentral:rRNA from 1 species